rnacentral:rRNA from 1 species
UACGUAGGGGGCAAGCGUUGUCCGGAUUUAUUGGGCGUAAAGAGCUCGUAGGCGGUUCGGUAAGUCGGGUGUGAAAACUCUGGGCUCAACCCAGAGACGCCACCCGAUACUGCUGUGACUUGAGUCCGGUAGGGGAGCGUGGAAUUCCUGGUGUAGCGGUGAAAUGCGCAGAUAUCAGGAGGAACACCAGCGGCGAAGGCGGCGCUCUGGGCCGGAACUGACGCUGAGGAGCGAAAGCGUGGGUAGCAAACAGG